AGCAACAGAGACAAAGGUAGAGGACGGCAGGGUCAGGGGCAGGGUCAGGGUCAGGGACAGGGUCAGGGUCAGGGUCAGGGUCAGGGUCAGGGUCAGGGUCAGGGACAGGGUCAGGGGCAGGGUCAGGGACAGGGGCAGGGUCAGGGUCAGGGGCAGGGUCAGGGUCAGGGUCAGGGGCAGGGUCAGGUAGAGUGGUUAGACAGGCAGGUACAGGGUCAGGAUCAGGGUCAUGGUCAGGGUCAGGGUCAGGGUCAGGGACAGGGUCAGGGGCAGGGUCAGGGACAGGGGCAGGGUCAGGGUCAGGGGCAGGGGCAGGGUCAGGGUCAGGGUCAGGGGCAGGGUCAGGUAGAGUGGUUAGACAGGCAGGUACAGGGUCAGGAUCAGGGUCAGGGGCAGGGUCAGGGGCAGGGUCAGGCAGAGUGGUUAGGCGGGCGGGUACAAGGUCAGGGGCAGGGGCAGGGUCAGAGGCAGGGGCAGGGUCAGGGGCUGGGUCAGGGUCAGGGGCAGGGGCAGGGGCUGGGUCAGGGGCAGGGUCAGGGACAGGGGCAGGGUCAGGGGCAGGGGCAGGGUCAGGGUCAGGGGCAGGGUCAGGUAGAGUGGUUAGACAGGCAGGUACAGGGUCAGGAUCAGGGUCAUGGUCAGGGUCAGGGUCAGGGUCAGGGACAGGGUCAGGGGCAGGGUCAGGGUCAGGGACAGGGUCAGGGUCAGGGUCAGGGUCAGGGACAGGGUCAGGGGCAGGGUCAGGGACAGGGGCAGGGUCAGGGUCAGGGUCAGGGUCAGGGGCAGGGUCAGGUAGAGUGGUUAGACAGGCAGGUACAGGGUCAGGAUCAGGGUCAGGGUCAGGGGCAGGGUCAGGGGCAGGGUCAGGCAGAGUGGUUAGGCGGGCAGGGGCAGGGUCAGAGGCAGGGGCAGGGUCAGGGGCUGGGUCAGGGUCAGGGUCAGGGUCAGGGGCAGGGGCAGGGGCUGGGUCAGGGUCAGGGUCAGGGGCAGGGUCAGGGUCAGGGUCAGGGUCAGGGGCAGGGUCAGGGGCUGGGUCAGGGUCAGGGGCAGGGUCAGGGGCAGGGGCAGGGGCAGGGGCAGGGGCAGGGGCAGGGUCAGGGUCAGGGUCAGGGUCAGGGGCAGGGGCAGGGGCAGGGGCAGGGGCAGGGUCAGGGUCAGGGGCAGGGUCAGGCAGAGUGGUUAGGCGGGCGGGUACAGGGUCAGGGGCAGGGUACAGGGUCAGGGUACAGGGUCAGGGUACAGGGUCAGGGUACAGGGGCAGGGGCAGGGGCAGGGACAGGGUCAGGGGCAGGGGCAGGGGCAGGGUCAGGGGCAGGGUCAGGGGCAGGUUCAGGGGCAGGGGCAGGGUCAAGGGCAGGGGCAGAGUCAGGGUCAGGGGCGGGUACAGGGUCAGGGUCAGGGUCAGGCAGAGGGGUUAGGCGGGCAGGUACAGGGUCAGGGUCAGGGGCAGGCAGAGUAGUUAGGCGGGCAGGUACAGGGUCAGGGUCAGGGGCGGGUACAGGGUCAGGGGCAGGCAGAGUGGUUAGGCUGGCGGGUACAGGGUAA
rnacentral:lncRNA from 1 species